GACGAACCGUGCGAACGUUGUUCGGAUUCACUGGGCUUAAAGGGCGCGUAGGCGGGUUCUCAAGUCCGGGGUGAAAUCCUCUCGCUCAACGAGAGAAUUGCCCCGGAUACUGGGGACCUCGAGGGAGGUAGGGGCAUGUGGAACUUCCGGUGGAGCGGUGAAAUGCGUAGAUAUCGGAAGGAACGCCGGUGGCGAAAGCGACGUGCUGGACCUCUUCUGACGCUGAGGCGCGAAAGCCAGGGGAGCAAACGGG
rnacentral:rRNA from 1 species